GCUUACGGCCAUACCACUCUGAACACGCCCGAUCUCGGAAGCCAAACAGGGUCGGGCCUGGUUAGUACUUGGAUGGGAGACCGCCUGGGAAUACCAGGUGCUGUAAGCU
rnacentral:rRNA from 1 species